GAAGGCGUGAGAAGGCAUGAGAAGGCUUCUCACUGCCUCUUACUCCUGAAACCGCAAGGGGGAGGGGCGACACGAGCAUCUCCCACCAUAGCUUGGAAAGCUCCGGAACACAAGGGACCAGGUGGGGACACGGGAGUGCAGGUGGCAGGGACCAGGUGGGGACACGGGAGUGCAGGUGGCAGGGACCAGGUGGGGACACGGGAGUGCAGGUGGCAGGGACCAGGUGGGGACACGGGAGUGCAGGUGGCAGGGACCAGGUGGGGACACGGGAGUGGAGGUGGCAGGGACCAGGUGGGGACACGGGAGUGCAGGUGGCAGGGACCAGGUGGGGACACGGGAGUGCAGGUGGCAGGGACCAGGUGGGGACACGGGAGUGGAGGUGGCAGGGACCAGGUGGGGACACGGGAGUGCAGGUGGCAGGGACCAGGUGGGGACACGGGAGUGGAGGUGGCAGGGACCAGGUGGGGACACGGGAGUGGAGGUGGCAGGGACCAGGUGGGGACA